UAUCGUUGGGCUCAUAACCCAAGGGUCGCAGGUUCGAAUCCUGCUCCCGCUA
rnacentral:tRNA from 1 species